rnacentral:rRNA from 1 species
CGGGACUCUCACGAGGCCUCGUAAUCGGAAUGAGUACACUUUAAAUAUUUUAACGAGGAACAAUUGGAGGGCAAGUCUGGUGCCAGCAGCCGCGGUAAUACCAGCUCCAAUAGCGUAUACUAAAUUUGUUGCGGUUAAAAAGCUCGUAGUUGCAUUUGUGCGCCGCGCUGUCGGUGCACCGCAUCCGCGGUGAUACUGACACGUCUGCGGAGCAUAUCGUCGGUGAGCCGCCGGUCAAACGGCGGUUCAAUAUCAAAAUCCUAUCGCGGUGCUCUUCAGUGAGUGUCGAGGUGGGCCGACAAUUUUACUUUGAACAAAUUAGAGUGCUCAAAGCGGGCUCAAAACGCUGCUUGAAUAUUUCGUGCAUGGAAUAAUAGAAUAUGAUCUCGGUUCUAUUUUGUUGGUUUUCAGAACUCCGAGGUAAUGAUUAAUAGGGAUAACUGGGGGCAUUCGUAUUGCGACGUUAGAGGUGAAAUUCUUGGAUCGUCGCAAGACGAACAUCAGCGAAAGCAUUUGCCAAAGGUGUUUUCAUCAAUCAAGAACGAAAGUUAGAGGUUCGAAGGCGAUUAGAUACCGCCCUAGUUCUAACCGUAAAUAUGUCAUCUAGCGAUCCGCCGACGUUAAUCAAAUGGCUCGGCGGGCAGCUUCCGGGAAACCAAAGAUUUUGGACUCCGGGGGGAGUAUGGUUGCAAAGCUGAAACUUAAAGGAA